UCGACGAAGCUUGAUGAUGGAUUUCUUCGGAAAGAAAUCUGAUAUGACUGAGUGGCGGACGGGUGAGUAACGCGUGAGUAACCUGCCCUUAGGAAAGGGAUAGCGUCUGGAAACGGACGGUAAUACCAUAUAAAGUAUAUUAACGGCAUCGUAGAUAUACCAAAGCUGAGGCGCCUAAGGAUGGACUCGCGUCUGAUUAGAUAGUUGGUGGGGUAACGGCCUACCAAGUCGACGAUCAGUAGCCGGACUGAGAGGUUGAACGGCCACAUUGGGACUGAGACACGGCCCAGACUCCUACGGGAGGCAGCAGUGGGGAAUAUUGCACAAUGGGCGAAAGCCUGAUGCAGCAACGCCGCGUGAAGGAAGACGGUUUUCGGAUUGUAAACUUCUGUUCUUAGUGAAGAAUAAUGACGGUAACUAAGGAGCAAGCCACGGCUAACUACGUGCCAGCAGCCGCGGUAAUACGUAGGUGGCAAGCGUUGUCCGGAAUUACUGGGUGUAAAGGGAGCGUAGGCGGGAAGCCAAGUCAGCUGUGAAAACUACGGGCUUAACCUGUAGACUGCAGUUGAAACUGGCUUUCUUGAGUGAAGUAGAGGUUGGCGGAAUUCCGAGUGUAGCGGUGAAAUGCGUAGAUAUUCGGAGGAACACCGGUGGCGAAGGCGGCCAACUGGGCUUUAACUGACGCUGAGGCUCGAAAGUGUGGGGAGCAAACAGGAUUAGAUACCCUGGUAGUCCACACUGUAAACGA
rnacentral:rRNA from 1 species